CGGAAGGGCAUCGGCAUCAGGGACGGUCUUCGGGUGCGGCGAGCGGCGGACGGUGAUAUGCUAGGAUCUGCUGGAUGGGGGUACUCGGGAAUCGAGUAUACCGCUACUCCUACGGGAAAGCGGGGGUCUUCGGCCUCCGUACCGUGACCAGGCGGUUACUAUUGUGAGGAAGGUCCCAGGCGCAUCCGAGUGGCUGAAGGUGUCAGCCCUGAAUGAACCGGCCGAUCCUACGGAGGACGGGGAUUUGGCAGGCAAGCUGUCCCCCUGCGGUGGGAUAUUCUCUAUUGCGCCUUAAUUUCAGACUUGAUA
rnacentral:rRNA from 1 species